UAGGGAAUCUUCCACAAUGGGCGCAAGCCUGAUGGAGCAACACCGCGUGAGUGAAGAAGGGUUUUCGGCUCGUAAAGCUCUGUUAUUAAAGAAGAACACGUAUGAGAGUAACUGUUCAUACGUUGACGGUAUUUAACCAGAAAGUCACGGCUAACUACGUGCCAG
rnacentral:rRNA from 1 species